AUUGAACGCUGGCGGCAGGCUUAACACAUGCAAGUCGAGCGGGGUGAUGGUGCUUGCGCUAUCACUUAGCGGCGGACGGGUGAGUAAUGCUUAGGAAUCUGCCUAUUAGUGGGGGACAACAUCUCGAAAGGGAUGCUAAUACCGCAUACGUCCUACGGGAGAAAGCAGGGGAUCACUUGUGACCUUGCGCUAAUAGAUGAGCCUAAGUCGGAUUAGCUAGUUGGUGGGGUAAAGGCCCACCAAGGCGACGAUCUGUAGCGGGUCUGAGAGGAUGAUCCGCCACACUGGGACUGAGACACGGCCCAGACUCCUACGGGAGGCAGCAGUGGGGAAUAUUGGACAAUGGGGGGAACCCUGAUCCAGCCAUGCCGCGUGUGUGAAGAAGGCCUUAUGGUUGUAAAGCACUUUAAGCGAGGAGGAGGCUCUUUUGGUUAAUACCCAAGAUGAGUGGACGUUACUCGCAGAAUAAGCACCGGCUAACUCUGUGCCAGCCGCCGCAGUAA
rnacentral:rRNA from 1 species